CUCUGACUCUACACCCCGAUUUCAUCUGCACAGAAAGAAAGCGGCACCCCAGUGGUCUCAGUGCUCGGGAGGCUGAGGCGGGAGGAUCGCUGUGAGUCUGAGGCCAGUUGGACCCUACCUCAGAAAACUACAAAUAAGUGUUUACCCUGGAGAACUGCUCCUGACCGGCAUCACUGCUCUCCAGGACCUCAGUGUCCAGCCCAGGGGCCACCCGGCCGCGCCUCUGCCUGGGGAGUUGAGGCCUGCGGUGGACUCGAAGUGUAGACUGGCUGGCUAGUGUUCAGCACAGUGUUCACAAGAGCGCCUGAAACCCCCAGGUUCGGGGCCAGUGACUUUAGUCUCUAAAACAAGUUUUGGUUUGUUUUUUUUGUACUGGGAUGGAACCCGGGGCUUGUCAUGGAGCUACAUCCCCAGCCCUUUGGAUUUUUAAUUUCAGACUCGAAUGCGCUAAGGGAUAAGUUGCCUGGUUGGGUUUGAACUGAGUUCCUCCUGCCUCAGGCUCCCCAGGGCCGGGAUUACUGGUGUUCUCACUUCUGCACAUCUGCACGUUGCGCGUGAGUGUGUCGGACUGUUCAGACCCCAGAGAGCUUUCCCAGUGCAGCACACUCAGCAAGCAGGGCUCCGUUUCAUGGGUGAAGAAAGCCUUGUUGUCUUAAAUGAUCAUAGAACUAAAAUCUCUUUUGGGGGAGGCAUGGAGCUUUUUUUAUUUCUUAAUUUAAAUUUUUGAAACAGGGUCUCGUUAUGUUG
rnacentral:lncRNA from 1 species